ACACUCCGCACUCACUACUCAGAGGGAGGGAGGCAGGGAGGGAGGGAGGUUACACAGGCUGACUGAACUGAGGAGCUCAGCUGCCAACACUCAACACUGCCUGCUGCUGCUGCUGCUGCUGUACUCUGGGCAAGGGGAGGGAGGGAGAAAGAAAAGGAGAAGAAGAAAAUAAAGAAGGAGAGAGAGCAGAUAAGUAGAGGGGGGAAAUCUGAGAAAGAAGGAAAAGCAAAGGACACCUCCCUCCCUACAGAGAGAAGACUUCCCAUGUAGCAGGGGAACGAGGGAGAAGCCUGAAGCUCAGCAACUGAGAGAGAAACAAGUUACUUAAUCCCUGGAGAGAGGAGGGACAUUAAUAAUAACAACAGUUGCUGAUGAUAAUAAUCAUACAUAACCGCUAAUAAUUUAAACCCAAAGAAAGUUCAAUGCAAUAUUCGAAGCUAUUUCUGGUUGCCUCUUCGGGGUAACUUUGGAAGGCGCGCUGCUGCUGUUGUCGCCUGGAGGUGAGAGAGGAGCCUCGGAAGAAGGAAGAAGUUUCGUGGGGCUUGUUUGCACAGGAGGAGAAGAUGGGCUGGAAGAGUCGCUGCUGCUGGGGAGGCGGAGGAGGAGGGGACCGUCUCUGCCUGCUCACCCUCUUGCUGGGGUUCCUGCUACCCGCCUGCAGGACUCGAAUGUACACCAACCACUGGGCUGUGAGGAUAACUGGGGGGCACCAGGAAGCCAGCAGGAUAGCUAGCAAAUACGGAUACGUCAAUAUAGGACAGAUUGGAGCACUGAAGGAUUACUACCACUUCUAUCAUAGUAAAACAAUUAAAAGGUCAGUUCUCUCAAGUAGAGGUACCCACAGCUUCAUUUCAAUGGAACCAAAGGU